rnacentral:rRNA from 1 species
UACGGAGGAUGCGAGCGUUAUCCGGAUUUAUUGGGUUUAAAGGGUGCGUAGGCGGCUUUUUAAGUCAGCGGUGAAAUUUUGCAGCUUAACUGUAACAGUGCCGUUGAUACUGGGGAGCUAGGAUUUGGUUGCUGUGGGUGGAAUGUGUGGUGUAGCGGUGAAAUGCUUAGAGAUCACACAGAAUAUUGAUUGCGAAGGCAGCUCACAAAGCCAAGAUUGACGCUGAGGCACGAAAGUGUGGGGAUCAAACAGGAUUAGA